AGAGUUUGAUCCUGGCUCAGGAUGAACGCUGGCGGCGUGCCUAACACAUGCAAGUCGCACGAGGGCUUGCCCUGGGGCAAAGCAGCGAACGGGUGAGUAACACGUGGGUAACCUGCCCCGAUGACCGGGACAACCCGAGGAAACUCGGGCUAAUACCGGAUGUGCUCGCCGGACACUAGUCCGGCGCGUAAAGGAAGCUUCGGCCUCCGCUUCGGGAGGGGCCCGCGGCCCAUUAGCUUGUUGGUGAGGCAACGGCUCACCAAGGCAACGAUGGGUAGCUGGUCUGAGAGGACGAUCAGCCACACUUGGGACUGAGACACGGCCCAGACUCCUACGGGAGGCUGCAGUGGGGAAUCUUGCACAAUGAGCGCAAGCUUGAUGCAGCGACGCCGCGUGGAGGAUGAAGGCCUUCGGGUUGUAAACUCCUACCCAAUGGGAAGAAUAAGGACAUCAGGUAAUGGGUGUCCGAUGACAUUACCAUUGGUACUAGCCCCGGCUAACUACGUGCCAGCAGCCGCGGUAAUACGUAGGGGGCAAGCGUUAUCCGGAAUCACUGGGCGUACAGGGUGCGCAGGCGGGCAUGUAGGUCUGACGUGAAAGCCCCGGGCUUAACUCGGGAAUUGCGUUGGAAACCCCAUGUCUUGAGGACCGGAGAGGAAGGUAGAAUUCGUGGUGUAGCGGUGAAAUGCGUAGAUAUCACGAGGAAUACCAGUGGCGUAAGCGGCCUUUCUGGACGGUUCCUGACGCUGAGGCACGAAAGCGUGGGUAGCAAACGGGAUUAGAUACCCCGGUAGUCCGCGCCGUAAACUUUGGGCACUAGGUGUAGGCGAUACAACUCGCCUGUGCCGCAGUUAACGCAUUAAGUGCCCCGCCUGGGAACUACGUCCGCAAGGAUAAAACUCAAAGGAAUUGACGGGGGCCCGCACAAGCGGUGGAGCACGUGGUUUAAUUGAAUGCAAAGCCACGAACCUUACCAGGUCUUGACAUGUUGGUAGUAGGGACUCUGAAAAGAGACCCGAGCCCUGCUUUGCAGGGCAGCCAUCACAGGUGCUGCAUGGUUGUCGUCAGCUCGUGCCGUGAGGUGUUGGGUUAAGUCCCGCAACGAGCGAAACCCCUGUCCUUAGUUGCCAGCAUUAAGUUGGGGACUCUAAGGAUACUGCCGGCGAAAAGCCGGAGGAAGGUGGGGACGACGUCAAGUCCUUAUGGCCCUUAUGACCUGGGCUACACACGUGCUACAAUGGGCGACACAAAGGGUAGCCACACCGCGAGGUGAAGCGAAUCCCACAAAGUCGCUCUCAGUUCGGAUUGGAGUCUGCAACUCGACUCCAUGAAGGCGGAAUCGCUAGUAAUCGCGGAUCAGCAACGCUGCGGUGAAUACGUUCUCGGGCCUUGUACACACCGCCCGUCACACCACAAAAGUCGGCAACACCCGAAGUCGGUGACCCGCGAGGGAGCCGCCGAAGGUGGGGCCGGCAAUUGGGGUGAAGUCGUAACAAGGUAGCCG
rnacentral:rRNA from 1 species